CAGGAUGGUAGUGGACCAAUCAAUUAUCGAUCUGGUUUAGUACACAAUCCUCCAAGUGCAUUAACUCAAAAUGAUAUCUUAGGAGAUAGAAAUAAUUUCCUUCUUGUCACAGUUGAAAUAUCUGUGAUGCUGUCAAGUGAAACUCUAUUGCCUUCUGCAACUGUAGCAAUUGAAAGUUCCUUAAUAUUAAGUCAAUCACUCACACUGAGUCUGG